GACGUAGGAUGCGAGCGUUGUCCGGAUUCAUUGGGCGUAAAGAGUUCGUAGGCGGUUUAUUAAGUCUGGUGUUAAAGACUGGGGCUCAACCCUGGGACAGCACUGGAUACUGGUAGGCUGGAGUGUGGUAGAGGCAAGCGGAAUUCCUGGUGUAGCGGUGAAAUGCGUAGAUAUCAGGAAGAACACCGGUGGCGUACGCGGCUUGCUGGGCCAUAACUGACGCUGAGGAACGAAAGCUAGGGGAGCAAACAGG
rnacentral:rRNA from 1 species